GACGAACGCUGGCGGCGUGCUUAACACAUGCAAGUCGAACGGAAAGGCCCUGCUUUUGUGGGGUUCUCGAUUGGCGAACGGGUGAGUAACACGUGAGUAACCUGCCCUUGACUUUGGGAUAACUUCAGGAAACUUUGGCUAAUACCGGAUAGGAGCUCCUGCUGCAUGGUGUGGGUUGGUAAGUUUCGGCGGUUGGGGAUGGACUCGCGGCUUAUCAGCUUGUUGGUGGGGUAGUGGCUUACCAAGGCUUUGACGGGUAGCAGGCAUGAGAGGGUGAACGGAGAAAAUGGGACUGAGAGAGGGCCCAGAGGCCUACGGGAGGCAGCAGUGGGGAAUAUUGCACAAUGGGCGGAAGCCUGAUGCAGCAACGCGGCGUGCGGGAUGACGGCCUUCGGGUUGUAAACAGAUUUAGCAUGUGACGAAGCGUGAGUGACGGUAAUGGGUAAAGAAGCACCGGCUAACUACGUG
rnacentral:rRNA from 1 species